AAAGCUCAGGAUCAGCAGAAAUCACCCAACCUAGUACCCAUGACAAAGGCAAGUGGCAAUUCAGGGAAGUCAGGACGUACCGAGUACCAUCCUGGGCCAGGGAGAGGCUGACCUUUAAAGCUGCUCUGAGCAUCUCGGUUAGGGUUAAAGGCUAGGCCUGGGGCAUCUGCCGUCCACCUUCAGCGAGGAGACAGCCAAUGGCCUGAGCGGGGCCCUCCUCCCGUGCGGGAGCCCACCCUGCCUUCCUCUCCUGUCUCAGGGGCCAGCGUCAUCAGCACCCGAUGUUCUGAGACCUACGAGACCAAGACGGCCCUCCUCAGCCUCUUCGGCAUCCCCCUGUGGUACCACUCCCAGUCACCCCGAGUCAUCCUCCAGCCAGAUGUGCACCCAGGCAACUGCUGGGCCUUCCAGGGGCCACAAGGCUUCGCCGUGGUCCGCCUCUCUGCCCGCAUCCGCCCCACAGCCGUUACCUUAGAGCAUGUGCCCAAGGCCUUGUCACCCAACAGCACUAUCUCCAGUGCCCCCAAGGACUUCGCCAUCUUUGGGUUUGACGAAGACCUGCAGCAGGAGG
rnacentral:lncRNA from 1 species